ACGCUCGACACCUACGGGAGGCAGCAGUGGGGAAUAUUGCACAAUGGGGGAAACCCUGAUGCAGCGACGCCGCGUGAGUGAAGAAGUAUUUCGGUAUGUAAAGCUCUAUCAGCAGGGAGAAGAUGACGGUACCUGAGUAAGAAGCCCCGGCUAACUACGUGCCACAGCCGCGGUAAUCUGAGGCGGCUGGCAAGGC
rnacentral:rRNA from 1 species